AUAUUAUUUGCGGAGCUCUUAAAACCUAUUUCUUUCUAUAAUUUUUCACAAAUUGCCUUGUUUAACACCAUAUAAGUGUAAAUAUAAAGCAGCACAUCUCAUUUUAGUUCUAAAUGAUUGGCUUUGUAUAUGGCUGUAAAGAUAUACCCUUGAACUGCAAGGUCAUUUUAUCAAAAGGAAACAUAAUUUAUUUUUGAUUUUCAAUGUACAGAAUUGAAAGGGUGACAGAGCUGUUUGUAUAUAACUUCAAGGUCUCCCCCA
rnacentral:misc_RNA from 1 species